rnacentral:rRNA from 1 species
ACUCCUACGGGAGGCAGCAGUGGGGAAUAUUGCACAAUGGGGGAAACCCUGAUGCAGCCAUGCCGCGUGUGUGAAGAAGGCCUUCGGGUUGUAAAGCACUUUCAGUAGGGAGGAAGGUAGUGUAGUUAACACCUGCAUUAUUUGACGUUACCUACAGAAGAAGCACCGGCUAACUCCGUGCCAGCAGCCGCGGUAAUACGGAGGGUGCGAGCGUUAAUCGGAAUUACUGGGCGUAAAGCGCAUGCAGGCGGCCUGUUAAGUCAGAUGUGAAAGCCCGGGGCUUAACCUCGGAAUUGCAUUUGAAACUGGCAGGCUAGAGUCUUGUAGAGGGGUUAGAAUUUCAGGUGUAGCGGUGAAAUGCGUAGAGAUCUGAAGGAAUACCAGUGGCGAAGGCGGCCCCCUGGACAAAGACUGACGCUCAGAUGCGAAAGCGUGGGAGCAAACAGGAUUAGAUACCCCUGGUAGCGACUGA